rnacentral:rRNA from 1 species
AUGACGGUAUCUGAUGAAUAAGCUCCGGCUAACUCUGUGCCAGCAGCCGCGGUAAUACAGAGGGAGCAAGCGUUAUCCGGAAUGAUUGGGCGUAAAGCGUUUGUAGGUGGCCUANAAAGUCUACUGUCAAAUAUCAAGGCUUAACCUUGAGCAGGCAGUGGAGUACUCCUAGGCUUGAGUGUGGUANAGGUAGAGGGAAUUCCAUGUGGAGCGGUGAAAUGCGUANAGAUAUGGAGGAACACCAGCGGCNAAGGCGCUCUACUGGGCCAAGACUGACACUGANAAACGAAAGCUAGGGGAGCGAAAAGGAUUANAUACCCUUGUAGUCCUAGCUGUAAACUAUGAANACUAAGUGCUGCCNAAAGCAGUGCUGUAGCUAACGCGUUAAGUCUUCCGCCUGGGGAGUAUGCUCGCAAGAGUGAAACUCAAANGANUUGACG